GUGGGGAAUAUUGGGCAAUGGAUGCAAGUCUGACCCAGCCAUCCCGCGUGCCGGAAGAAGGCCCUCAGGGUUGUAAACGGCUUUUGACGGUGAAGAAUCGACAGGAUGCGUCCUGUUUUGACGGUAGCCGUUGAAUAAGCACCGGCUAACUCCGUGCCAGCAGCCGCGGUAAUACGGUGGGUGCGAGCGUUGUCCGGAUUUAUUGGGUUUAAAGGGUGCGUAGGCUGGAAGGUCAGUCAGCGGUGAAAAGCUGUCGCUUAACGAUAGUCUUGCCGCAGAUACUUCCUUUCUUGGAUGAGGAGGAGGCCACUGGAACGGAUGGUGUAGCGGUGAAAUGCAUAGAUAUCAUCCAGAACACCGAUUGCGAAGGCAGGUGGCUGUACCUUAAUCGACGCUGAUGCACGAAAGCAUGGGGAGCAAACAGGAUUAGAUACCCUAGUAGUCC
rnacentral:rRNA from 1 species